rnacentral:tRNA from 1 species
AGAGAGAUAGCUAAUUAAUAAGUAUCAUAUUUACAAUAUGAGAAUGUCUGUGAAAUUCAGACUCUCUUUA